CACCGGCUGAAGCUUCUCCUUCGUGCGUGCUCGUGCUCUCGGCUGAAGCUUCGUUCUCAUGCUCUCCUUUUCCGGCGUCUCUCCCAUCUCUCCGGCGGCUCCCACUCGGCUGACUCUCCGGCGACUCCUCACUCCGGCGACUCACCGGCUGAAGCUUCCGAAUCCAGUGACGAGUUUGAGGCCAAAGAGUGCAGUGAAAGUCACCAGAGAUUAAGAUGAUGAUUUGUGGGGAUCCAUAGCGGCACCGGUUCCAAAGAGCGCCUCAAAACCUGACUGUAAAACCUGCCGUAACAACGGAUGACGAUCCAUGGGCUGCCAUAGCCACUCCUCCACCUACCACCACUGCCAAGCCUUUAUCGUCCAGUAGAAUCUGAGGAGCUAAACCCACCGCUCCAAAAUUGGGCGCACAGAAUAAACCGGACAUCGUCAUCCGGAGUGUAAAUCAGACAAAUCAAGAAACAAGAACACUAGAAGAAUCUGGGAGCCUGUACAUUUUUGUCUUCGGGGGGUGUGGUCGACCAAAUCAAUCAUAGCAAGAAUCGGCACACAUUUUGUUCGCGAUAAGUUCUUCCUUUCUGGCAAAAUUUAUCAUGUGUAUCAUUUCAUUUGUAACCACUUGUAAUGUGAUGGCUCUUUUAGGCCGGACAAACAUUAGUUACUGCUUAACGAAAGCGGGCGCACAAGUUGGUGCGUGUUUGCGACAA